rnacentral:rRNA from 1 species
GAUGAACGCUGGCGGCGUGCCUAAUACAUGCAAGUCGAGCGAAUGGAUUAAGAGCUUGCUCUUAUGAAGUUAGCGGCGGACGAGUGAGUAACACGUGGGUAACCUGCCCAUAAGACUGGGAUAACUCCGGGAAACCGGGGCUAAUACCGGAUAACAUUUUGAACCGCAUGGUUCGAAAUUGAAAGGCGGCUUCGGCUGUCACUUAUGGAUGGACCCGCGUCGCAUUAGCUAGUUGGUGAGGUAACGGCUCACCAAGGCAACGAUGCGUAGCCGACCUGAGAGGGUGAUCGGCCACACUGGGGCUGAGACACGGCCCAGACUCCUACGGGAGGCAGCAGUAGGGAAUCUUCCGCAAUGGACGAAAGUCUGACGGAGCAACGCCGCGUGAGUGAUGAAGGCUUUCGGGUCGUAAAACUCUGUUGUUAGGGAAGAACAAGUGCUAGUUGAAUAAGCCGGCACCUUGACGGUACCUAACCAGAAAGCCACGGCUAACUACGUGCCAGCCGCCGCCGUAA